rnacentral:rRNA from 1 species
UACGGAGGGUGCGAGCGUUGUCCGGAAUCACUGGGCGUAAAGGGCGCGUAGGCGGCGCGGCAAGUCUGUGGUGAAAGCCCGAGGCUCAACUUCGGGUCGGCCAUGGAUACUCCCGUGCUCGAGCACUGUAGAGGCAGGUGGAAUUCCGGGUGUAGCGGUGGAAUGCGUAGAGAUCCGGAAGAACACCGGUGGCGAAGGCGGCCUGCUGGGCAGUAGCUGACGCUGAUGCGCGACAGCGUGGGGAGCAAACAGG